AGUGGCUUUAGUGGGCACCUGGCAUCCAGCCAGGGUCAACCCACCACAUCCUGGCUUUGCAGUUUUGUACCCAUAAUGAUAAAGCACGUAUUUGUUUCACCUUCCCGUGAAGCACUGGCCAGAGGGAGAGAAAUGGACGUGGUAGACCUGGCCUGGAAGUGCUCAUCCCCUGGAAGCAAACGAAGCCCUGGCGAGCUGGUGUCAACUGCUGACACUGGGUUAGCCUUGCUUGGGGAUGUUGCAGUCUAGGAACUGGACAUCUGGCAAAGAUGCAACAGCUAAGCAACUGUGUAAGAAAAUUACCUGAGACAUGGCUAAGCUUUCCCCUAGAGAGAGCUGGAGAUGGUGGACCAUUGAGAAGGCAGUGCCCAAACCAGUGGCCCCAGCAUCUCCAGGAGGUCUGCUUGCUUGCUUCGGUGCCUGGCUAGCCAUGGAGCUGUGGUGAGGAGCUGGCUUUAGUGGCAGGGACACGAGCCGAAAAAGCCGGAAAGCAGCUAAGGGGCGUGAUGGAGGCAGAGGCACCUCUAGUGAAGAUGCCUGGAGUGGGAGCUGAGGGACGCUUAGUGGUGACACCAAGGAGCUCUGCUGGGAGAGGCCAGCCCGGUCCCCACCACGUGGAGUGGCUGGUCUCCAAGCUGGAUGCUCACCUUCCCACCCAGAGGCGGCUCUUUCGGAAAGAGCCACCACAGAUAAGGCACAUGAUGAAAUCUCCGGAGGGGCUGGAGCUACCUGCCGCCUGGUGAUGGGGAUCUGAGACGGAGCAGCUGACGGGGACCCACAACUGCCAGCCACCCUGCUCACCCCAGGCUGGGUCCCCCUGCGAGCUCAGCACCGGCCCGAGUCCGCCAGGAAGCUCUGCUUGGAAACCUCAGGAUGGGAACAAACUGCAGUGGUGGGCGGCACUGUGUUUUAGUCAAGGUUCGUAUUGUUCCUCUGAUCCUUACCCUGUCUCAGGUAAGGACAUUGUUUUAAAGGGAACUGAGGAAAAAUCUGUUUCACAGGGCAGUAUUUCUUUAGUACCACCAGUAAUGGGGGUGGAUUGGGAAAUGAACCGUUCCCCAUUACACUGGGACCUAACUGCACAGCCCAUGCUUUCCAGUUAAAAUUUGAUUGCCUUGAAUCCUGCAGAUUAUGGAAAAUAAGAAAAAGGCCUAGUAAAAUUUAUGGAUUUUAAUCAUAAACCAAUAGAAUCACAGUAAAUCUAUCAUAAGCAUGUAGAUACAGACCCAGAAAAAAGAGAGGAAAGCAAUAGGCCCAUUUUUCCCUGGAGGAGCUGCGUGUACCCAUGGCAGGGCCAGAGAGAUGGGGAGCAGGGCUGCUCCCCCAGCCAUCUCCUCCAGGGUGUUGAGCCCCGCACCUCAAAGCCUUCCUCCUCUGUCGUGUCCUGCAAAAACCUGGUAGCAGGGAUGGCAACUGCAAAGUCUUAUGGCAAACCAGCUGGGCAGGG